UACGGGGGGGGCAAGCGUUGUUCGGAAUUACUGGGCGUAAAGGGCUCGUAGGUGGCCAACUAAGUCAGACGUGAAAUCCCUCAGCUUAACUGGGGAACUGCGUCUGAUACUGGAUGGCUUGAGUUUGGGAGAGGGAUGCGGAAUUCCAGGUGUAGCGGUGAAAUGCGUAGAUAUCUGGAGGAACACCGGUGGCGAAGGCGGAUCUCUGGGCCUGAUCUGACGCUGAGGCGCGAAAGCUAGGGGAGCGAACAGG
rnacentral:rRNA from 1 species